UACGUAGGGUGCGAGCGUUGUCCGGAAUUACUGGGCGUAAAGGGCGCGUAGGCGGACAGUUUAGUCAGAGGUAAAAGCCCAGGGCUCAACCUUGGAACUGCCUUUGAUACUGGCUGUCUUGAGUUCGGGAGAGGUGAGUGGAAUGCCGAGUGUAGAGGUGAAAUUCGUAGAUAUUCGGCGGAACACCAGUGGCGAAGGCGACUCACUGGCCCGAUACUGACGCUGAGGCGCGAAAGCGUGGGGAGCAAACAGG
rnacentral:rRNA from 1 species